UACGUAGGGGGCAAGCGUUAUCCGGAUUUACUGGGUGUAAAGGGAGCGUAGACGGCGAAGCAAGUCUGGAGUGAAAGCCCGGGGCCCAACCCCGGGACUGCUCUGGAAACUGCGGCGCUGGAGUGCAGGAGGGGUAAGCGGAAUUCCUGGUGUAGCGGUGAAAUGCGUAGAUAUCAGGAGGAACACCGGUGGCGAAGGCGGCUUACUGGACUGCAACUGACGUUGAGGCUCGAAGGCGUG
rnacentral:rRNA from 1 species